rnacentral:rRNA from 1 species
AUUUGGAGAGGAUGCUUCUGGCGCGGCGCCGUCCGAGUUCCUUGGAACAGGACGCCAUAGAGGGUGAGAGCCCCGUACGGGCGGCCGCCUAGCCUUUGUGAAGCUCCUUCGACGAGUCGAGUAGUUUGGGAAUGCUGCUCAAAAUGGGAGGUAAAUUUCUUCUAAAGCUAAAUAUUGGCCAGAGACCGAUAGCGCACAAGUAGAGUGAUCGAAAGAUGAAAAGCACUUUGAAAAGAGGGUUAAAAAGUACGUGAAAUUGUUGAAAGGGAAGCGCCUGUGACCAGACUUGCGACCCGCGGAUCAUCCGGUGUUCUUCACCGGUGCACUCCGCGGGCUGCAGGCCAGCAUCGGUUUUCCUAGGGGGAUAAAGGUCGCGGGAACGUAGCUCUUUCGGGAGUGUUAUAGCCCGUGGCGUCAUGCCUCUGGGGGGACCGAGGACCGCGCUUCGGCAAGGAUGCUGGCGUAAUGGUCACCGGCGACCCGUCUUGAAACACGGACCAAGGAGUCAAGCAUUGGGGCGAGUGUCUGGGUGCCAAACCCGCACGCGAAAUGAAAGUAAACGCAGGUGAGAGCUUCGGCGCAUCACCGACCGAUCCUGAUGUCUUCGGAUGGAUUUGAGUAAGAGCCUUACCGCUUGGACCCGAAAGAUGGUGAACUAUGCCUGUAUAGGGUGAAGCCAGAGGAAACUCUGGUGGAGG